AUUCAGCACUCCUCCUUUGAGACACUGCCUUUAUGAAUAAGGAAUGCUGUUGUAAAGUGUAGUUACAGCAGGUGUUUACUGCCAUCUAGUGGAAGAUACCAAUAAAACACUUUAUUAUCAGGGUGGGGAGAUGGCUGAGUGCAGGAUCCAUGGUGAGAUGACAAAAGAGGAAAACACACUAUAUGGAGAGAAGUACAAAUAAAGUAUUUCUGAACAAUAAAGAACAGAUUAAGAUAAUGAAUACCUGGAAUGACAUAUUAUUACUAGUUAGUAGAGGCUCUUCUGUCAUCAUUAUUUACCCAUACACCGGUGACGUCAGAAGGGACGUGAUUUCCUCAUAUGAAAGUGAAAGUAACUGUGUAGUCUACACCGUUACAAAAUGACUGUAGAAAAUGUAGCGCACAUUUCUCUGCAACAUUAGAAGUAGGAUAAAUGUGUUGAUUUGAAGGACAGACGUACAGACUCUGGAUCCAUUUUGAGAUGACAGAGCAGAAAACACUAUAUGGACAAUACUGACAAAUAAAGUACGAUCAUGGAUAUUGCCUCUGAGUAUUGAAACAGGUAAGAUCAGGGAUAUUUUCUCUGAGUAUUGAAACAGGUCAGUAUUGUGGUGAAAUGGAGGAAAGACUAUGUAACUAUUGUGACCUUAAAGAAAUAGAGAAUUAAACUGAUUUAAUCCUCUAUUUCCUUUUCUACCAUGAUAUACGCUUGCUCUUAUUCCAGAAAGACCACCAGAUAUACCCUGGCAGUAUGUGAUGAGUGAUGAGGAGAAAUUGAAAUGUUUUUUUGUCCAUUGUGUAUUUCCGUUUGUGGAAUAUUUAGAUCAAUCCUGGAAUAUAAGAAAAAUGUUUACCUAUAAUUAAAUUGUAAAAAUAUUUAGCUUCUGCGUGGUAAAUGGUACAUGUGUAUAUAGAUUGUGUAUAGACUUGUCUCCCAUAUGAGUCUUCUAUGUGGUAAAUGGUAUGUGUAUAUAUAGAUUGUGUAUAGGUUUGUCUCCCAUAUGAAUCUUCUAUGUGGUAAAUGGUAUGUGUAUAUAGAUUGUGUAUAGACUUGUCUCCCAUAUGAAUCUUCUAUGUGGUAAAUGGUAUGUGUAUAUAUAGAUUGUGUAUAGACUUGUCUCCCAUAUGAAUCUUCUAUGUGGUAAAUGGUAUGUGUAUAUAUAGAUUGUGUAUAGACUUGUCUCCCAUAUGAAUCUUCUCUUUGUGUCAGACUGGGUUCAAAUUCCUUCUGUUUAUUUUUCUGGGUUGAUGAUUCACCUCCUCUACCCAUUUUCUGUAUUUAUUUAUCUGUAUAUGUUAUGUAUGUAUAUAUAUACAGUAUGUAUAUAUGUAUGUAUGUGUAUAUAUACAGUGUGUAUAUAUGUAUAUUAUUGUUCUGCUCUAGGGAUAUAAUUAUUGUUUGCAUCACCUUAUUUACUAUUAUGUAUUGAUUUUUACCUUAUUUUUUUCACUAUUCAUGCGAUGCCCAAUGCAGAGAACACCGGAAGGAGAAUUAUCAUUUAAUUACCACAGUCAAUUAUUGUAAUGUUUGUUUAUGUGGCAAUUAACCCCAUAAGGGAUGGGUUGCCAGUUGGCGAUUUGACACGGAAAUAAAAUAUCAUUCAUUCA